AGGACGGUGCUGGGGAGCCAUCCCCGAGGGCAGGCGGUGACCGCAUGGCUGAUCCCCGGAGGAAAAUCCACUUCAAGGUGAUCCGGAGCCCCGGGGACCUCCUGCAGUUCAUCGAGGAGCUCAAGGAGACCACCAGGAAGGCCAAGGGCAAGGCCCGCCAGGAGGAGGAGGAGGAGGAGGAGGAGGAGG